AUUGAACGCUGGCGGCAGGCCUAACACAUGCAAGUCGAACGGUAACAGGAAGCAGCUUGCUGCUUUGCUGACGAGUGGCGGACGGGUGAGUAAUGUCUGGGAAACUGCCCGAUGGAGGGGGAUAACUACUGGAAACGGUAGCUAAUACCGCAUAACGUCGCAAGACCAAAGAGGGGGACCUUAGGGCCUCUUGCCAUCGGAUGUGCCCAGAUGGGAUUAGCUAGUAGGUGGGGUAACGGCUCACCUAGGCGACGAUCCCUAGCUGGUCUGAGAGGAUGACCAGCCACACUGGAACUGAGACACGGUCCAGACUCCUACGGGAGGCAGCAGUGGGGAAUAUUGCACAAUGGGCGCAAGCCUGAUGCAGCCAUGCCGCGUGUAUGAAGAAGGCCUUCGGGUUGUAAAGUACUUUCAGCGGGGAGGAAGGGAGUAAAGUUAAUACCUGUGCUCAUUGACGUUACCCGCAGAAGAAGCACCGGCUAACUCCGUG
rnacentral:rRNA from 1 species